AUGAGGUUGCGCAGUGCAAUACUUCAGUAUCUAUAGCCUAAAUUAAAGUUACAACAUAUAGCUAUCACAAUUAGUAAUUGCUAGCUAGCUAGUUUAGCACCUAUAAGGUGUCGUAUACGUAAGGUAAAGAAGAAAUGGAUAAAAGGUAUAUUUAUUUGUACGAUUGGUGUUGUGAACUAACCACGUGCUGGUUGCCGGUUUGUGUCAUCUUGUUGAUGGAACUCCAAGUCUCUUCACAGGAGAGAGUUGAAGGUUUUACAAGAGGAAAGGUUAUUUUACCAUGUCGGUACAAUGCGAUGCCUAUUGAAGAGGUCACCAUAUUUUGGCGAUACAAGGAUGACCGUAAUGUCUACAAUAUUGUCAGUGGAAAAGCAGACUUGACAGACCAAGACCGUCAGUUCAGAGACAGAACCAGGAUGUUCCCUGAGGAAUGGGAAAACGGCAACUUCUCUCUCCUACUGACUGAUCUCAAGGACAUCGAUAGUGGGAGUUAUUCAUGUUUCAUACCAACAAUGAACAUUCUUCGUCAAGUGGAAUUUUCUGUUCAAGAGAAACCAACUCCUGAGCCUAAAGUUGAUCUUAGGAGCAGCAGCAUGAGUAUCAGAGAGCUGAACCAGAGCCUCUUCCUGUUUCUCCUCCUCAGUCCAACUCUCCACUUCCUUUGACUUACAGCACAGAAAUUGGUCUUUGUGCCACUUAUGAGACUGUUGACAAGUUCUGAGUGUUUAAACUGCUGAAAUACUAAUUAUUUUUGGAAUGUAUGUAAUAAGAUGAGUUAUUAAUAUUGCACUACCAAAUCACAGAAGUUUUGUUGAGAACUUGAGAUUGAACAUUUGCUGCACAGUAAAAAUAUUAUUUCAGUCAGCCUUUCAAUUAGAAAGUAUUUGACUUUAACACCACAGUGUUAUGAAAGGGAACAUAUUCACUUCCUCAAUGCUCUUUAUUGAAGAGUGUUUCUUUUAGCUUUUUGCAAACUAUGGUUUGAUCAUGUGAUUCCACAGUGUGUUCAGACACAUGUCUGUGUUAGGAGGAAGUCAGUUCAGACUCAGAUUAAUCACAGCUCUGAAGAUGUCGAGGAUUGUUGCCUGUCUGUUCUGUGUUUUAAGACUGUGUGUUGGAGCUGAGGCUUUGACAGAGACACUGGUAGAACUUGGACACAAUGCAACUCUGAACUGUUCUCUUAAUGGAACUAAUGUACACUGGUACAUACAGCACCAAAAACAGCCUCCACUGGCCAUACUCCGCUCUUUCACUAGUAGUAGUCCUGCUGCUUUUUAUUACAAUCAUCAUUUUAGACAUAAAUAUUCAUUAGAAACAGGAAAUAGAUUGUUAAUACAGAAU